rnacentral:rRNA from 1 species
GUGGGGAAUAUUGCACAAUGGGCGAAAGCCUGAUGCAGCAACGCCGCGUGAGGGACGACGGCCUUCGGGUUGUAAACCUCUUUUAGUAGGGAAGAAGCGAAAGUGACGGUACCUGCAGAAAAAGCACCGGCUAACUACGUGCCAGCAGCCGCGGUAAUACGUAGGGUGCAAGCGUUAUCCGGAAUUAUUGGGCGUAAAGAGCUCGUAGGCGGUCUGUCGCGUCUGCUGUGAAAACUGGAGGCUCAACCUCCAGCCUGCAGUGGGUACGGGCAGACUAGAGUGCGGUAGGGGAGAGUGGAAUUCCUGGUGUAGCGGUGGAAUGCGCAGAUAUCAGGAGGAACACCGAUGGCGAAGGCAGAUCUCUGGGCCGUAACUGACGCUGAGGAGCGAAAGCGUGGGGAGCGAACAGGAUUAGAUACCCCAGUAGUCC